rnacentral:tRNA from 1 species
GGGCCGGUAGAUCAGCCUGGUAUGAUCGCCACGCUUGCAACGUGGAAGUCGCGGGUUCAAAUCCCGCCCGGUCCACCA